AUUGAACGCUGGCGGCAGGCCUAACACAUGCAAGUCGAACGGUAACAGGAAGCAGCUUGCUGCUUCGCUGACGAGUGGCGGACAGGUGAGUAAUGUCUGGGAAGCUGCCUGAUGGAGGGGGAUAACUACUGGAAACGGUAGCUAAUACCGCAUAAUGUCGCAAGACCAAAGAGGGGGACCUUCGGGCCUCUUGCCAUCGGAUGUGCCCAGAUGGGAUUAGCUUGUUGGUGGGGUAACGGCUCACCAAGGCGACGAUCCCUAGCUGGUCUGAGAGGAUGACCAGCCACACUGGGACUGAGGCACGGUCCAGACUCCUACGGGAGGCAGCAGUGGGGAAUAUUGCACAAUGGGCGCAAGCCUGAUGCAGCCAUGCCGCGUGUAUGAAGAAGGCCUUCGGGUUGUAAAGUACUUUCAGCGGGGAGGAAGGGAGUAAAGUUAAUACCUUUGCUCAUUGACGUUACCCGCAGAAGAAGCACCGGCUAACUCCGUG
rnacentral:rRNA from 1 species